rnacentral:rRNA from 1 species
UACGUAGGGAGCAAGCGUUGUCCGGAAUCAUUGGGCGUAAAGCACGCGUAGGCGGCCUCAUAAGUCCGUUGUGAAAGUCAAGGCUCAACCUUUGAAAGCCGAUGGAUACUGUGAGGCUAGAGUCCGGAAGAGGCGAGUGGAAUUCCUGGUGUAGCGGUGGAAUGCGCAGAUAUCAGGAGGAACACCAAUAGCGAAGGCAGCUCGCUGGGACGGUACUGACGCUAAGGCGCGAAAGCGUGGGGAGCAAACAGG